rnacentral:rRNA from 1 species
UAAUUGAAGAGUUUGAUCAUGGCUCAGAUUGAACGCUGGCGGCAGGCCUAACACAUGCAAGUCGAGCGGCAGCACAGAGGAAC